UUCGUUUUUAUGGAAGAUACGAUGUUGGUCAAGGGCAUAAGUAUAUAUUAAAUGUGAUAGGUCAGUUGGAAUGGGAAGUUUACUUUGAUUUGGUAAAAGAGUCUCAGUUUAGAUCAAUAGAGGUGUUUGCAUCAAAGUUAGUUCGUACCGUAGAAAAUUUGGAUCUAAACAAAUCUCCUUCUUAUCAUUACGUUGAGAAGAAUUUUGUGACAUAUUAUUCUCGUCGUGGAGGGGGUGCAAGUAAGAGUGAGUUGGUACGAGAAGACUUGGAGGGGGAAGGAGAGAAGAAGAGACCUUUGCUUGGAAAAGAUUUAUGGGAGGCAGGACCAUCAAAGAGACAUUGCGGUACUGAUGAUGUGGAUGCAGCGAGGGUGAUGAAAAGGGAGUUAGUACAAGAGGGGCUUGAUCUAAGUGAACAUUUGUCGGCGAGUGUUCAUUGGUCGUCGUACGGAGUCAACCCUGAAUACCCGACAGAAGUAGCAUGCCAAUAUGUGAAUCCAGAUGAUUACUUUGAUGUCGAAUUGAGUGGUGGUCACGAUUCUGUCUCAGUAGAAGUCAAUAGAGAUGAUGUUGACGAGGAGGCAAGUGUUGAGCAAUAUGAUGUUGAAUUUGCUGAAGACUCUGAUGAUGACCGUCCAUUCCCUCCACUUACUAAUAAUGACAAGUUAGCAUUAGAGGAAUGUCGUGCGUUUGAGAAGGUGUUUGGGAGGAAGCCGGACAUUCCUGAGUUUAGGGACCUAACACAUGCCCAUGGUGCACUACUAGAUGGCGGCAUCAACCUAGAUCAGUUGCCAGAACCAUUCCAGGUGGAUGGUCUCAGAAAGGGUUUAGAGUUCCCAUCCAUGGUCGCAUUGAAGCUAUGGCUCCAGGAGUACGCCAUCGUGCACCAUCGUCCAUACCGUGUUGUCAAUUCUGCCGCAAAUAGGAGGUACACUGUUAAAUGUGAAAACCCACGGUGCAAAUGGAAGGUCCAUGCAACUAAGAGGUCUAGUGGCACGUGGAGGAUAUCACGGGUAGGUAAGGAACAUAGUUGUGCUACUGCCGAAGGUUCAGGGAGCCACCGGCAACUGACAUCAAAGUUCAUAGCAAAUAGGUUAUGCAAUGCCAUAAAACUGCAACCUACACUCUCUGCUUCUGUGUUAGCUUUGUAUAUAUUUGAGGUUUUCCAGUAUAGGGUGAAGUAUGGCAAGGCUUGGAGGGCACGAGAGGAGGCUAUGAAGCUCAUUUACGGUGAAUGGGGUGAAGCGUAUGUCCGUUUGCCCACUUUGCUGCAAGCCAUUAAGCAGAGGAAUCCCAGUAUGGUCUACCACAUCGAUACUCAUCCUGAUAGGGUUGUCAACGUUGAUGGAGUGACCAAGAAAAUUUUUAUGCGUGCAUUCUGGUGCUUUGGUCCUUCCAUUGAGGCUUUUAAGCAUUGUAGGCCAGUACUAGCUAUAGAUGCAACCUUCCUAACUGGGAAAUACGGUGGUGCCUUGAUGACUGCAUUAUCAGCUGAUGCGGAGGACCAACUUGUACCUUUAGCUUUUGCCUUGGUGGAGAAAGAGAAUUCACGAGAUUGGUGCUGGUUUAUCGAUCUUGUCCGACGGGUUGUGGUUGGGCCGCAUAGGGAGGUUUGUAUUAUCUCAGAUCGACAUGCUGGUAUAAUGAAUGCCAUGAUGACUCCUGUUCCAGGAUUGCCAUCGGUUCACCACCGGUGGUGCAUGAGGCACUUCAGUGCUAAUUUCCACAAGGCCGGUGCGGACAAGCAUCAGACAAAAGAGCUCCUAAGAAUAUGUCAGAUUGACGAGAAGUGGAUAUUUGAGAGGGAUGUUGAGGCACUAAGGCAGCGUAUUCCCGAAGGUCCUCGUAAAUGGCUUGAAGAUGAGUUGUUGGAUAAAGAUAAGUGGUCUCGUGCAUACGAUAGAAAUGGCCGCUGGUGGGGUUACAUGACAACCAACAUGGCCGAACAGUUCAAUAGCGUGCUAGUUGGUGUUCGUAAGCUUCCAGUGACGGCCAUCGUAUCAUUUACGUUCAUGAAGUGCAAUGACUACAUUGUGAACAGACAUGAUGAAGCUUUGAAGCGAGUCCAGUUAGGGCAGCGUUGGUCCACCAAGGUUGACAGUAAGAUGAAGGUGCAAGAAAGUAAGGCGAACAAACACACUGCAAGGUGUUUCGAUAAGCAGAAAAAGACAUACGAGGUCACAGAGAGGGGUGGUAUAACGUGUGGUGGUGUUAGAUUCGGCGCAAGAGCCUUCAAAGUUAAAGGUGAGGGGAACUCAUGUUCUUGCCAAAGGCCAUUGCUCUACCAUAUGCCUUGCUCACAUCUUAUACACGUUUAUCUGAAGAUUAAAACAAGAGGGAAGAGGAGAUCGAAACGAUUCAAGAACGAAAUGGACUCGGGUCUAGGUGGUUCUGGAAGGAAACCACCUUCAUGCGUUCAACUUGAUGCUGCGCCGGUGCAAAAUAGAUGCUCGUUGAUUCAGAUGUGGAUGUGGUUAAGACUACCGGUUGGAAGGCCUAAGUGGAGGCAAAGCUUCACUCCUUGGCCCUACAAUGAGCCAGACAUGGAGAAGACAGUGGCCUACCUUUUUGAGAGUACUGACACUGCACAUGCUCACCGGGAUGUGGCAUACAAGCAUUAUGUCAAUGAGAUGGACUGCUUGCAGCCUCAACAUGUAAGUACUUCCAAUAUUACUUCUAGAUAGACAUUUACUUCUUUAAUUGAGAUACUAACCAACGACAUCUCUUCAACUUUUGCAGAUUAAGUGGUUACCAUACCACACAAAUGAGGCUUCAAGCCUGACCCUGAACUCGAUGUGCAAUCGAGACUCUGACUAUUUCAUGUACCAGUGCCCAUUGAUUUGUUUCUGGGCAGUUGAGUACCACCUUCCACACCGUGUCAUGCGACAGUUCGGGAAGAAACAAGAUUGGCCGGUUGAGGACAUCUCAACUGGAGUUGAAUUACACAAGUAUGACAGGGUGAGAACAAAGAAGGUGAAAGACUGGGGGCUAGAGCAUAAUAGAUACAUUGAUGAAUGGAGAACAGCCGGAAGGAACGAUAGGUACAUCGAGACUAUACACCAAAAUCAUCUUUUCUCAGAGUACCUUCGUUGGCUGCAUAGGACAUAUAGACUGUUCCUCCGCCCUACUUGGACGGAAGCCGACAUAGAGGAUGACCGCGACUCCGAUGAGGGACGGAAUCCCUAUGAUGUCCGGACUAGAGUUGGAUAUCAAAUGGAGCACGCCCCACUUAGAGACAGAGUCUCGAGAGAGCUCCUCAGGAGUGUGAAUGAAAUGGGGCAUGCCCUCCAAGCUCCGAGGGGUGAUGAGGACACGGAGAACACGCUCCGCAAUGUUUUAGAGAAAGUUCGUCAAAGGUGCCGGAAACUUGCAGCAAGAUUAGGUUGCAGGUCGGUUGGAUUGGACGACGUGUACCAACCGGGGAGACUACCACCACCACUACCUCAAUCCGCGCGUCCAAGUACUGCUCGACACUCUAUCAGGAUAGAAGAGCGUGAAGGAGUUGGUGGCUCGUCGUCGUCACGCAUUAAGCAAGGGAGGGGAAAGGGGAAGGCGCCGGCUCCACCUAGCGACGACGAUGACGAUGAGGACGAGGAGGAUGAGGACUACGUCGCACCAGACGCCGAGAAGAUAGACAUGUCACAGCUUCCCGACGCGCCUCAGGGGACGCAACCCACGCAAUACAACUUGCGAUCCACUCGGGCAGCGAAAAAGAGGUACACUCCGGGCUCGCAAGCAAUUCGGCGCCAACGGAAGAAGUAAUUUGUAUGAAGUUAAUC